GAGGAUAUAGCUUAAGUGGUAGAGUACAUGCUUAGCAUGCACGAGGUCCUGGGUUCAAUCCCCAGUACUUCCU
rnacentral:tRNA from 1 species